rnacentral:rRNA from 1 species
CAAUAGCGUAUAUUAAAGUUGUUGCAGUUAAAAAGCUCGUAGCUGGAUUUGUGGCGUACGGUGUGUUCCGGGCACUUGUUGUCUGAGUAACCUGCUGUUGCCAUCCUUGGGUGGAACCUGUGUGGCAUUAGGUUGUCGUGCAGGGGAUGCCCAUCAUUUACUGUGAAAAAAUUAGAGUGUUCAAAGCAGGCUUAUGCCGUUGAAUAUAUUAGCAUGGAAUAAUGAGAUAGGACUUUUUUGCUAUUUUGUUGGUUUGCGCAAAGAGGUAAUGAUUAAUAGGGACAGUUGGGGGUAUUCGUAUUCCAUAGUCAGAGGUGAAAUUCUUGGAUUUUUGGAAGACGAACUACUGCGAAAGCAUUUACCAAGGAUGUUUUCAUUAA